rnacentral:rRNA from 1 species
CUACGGGCGGCAGCAGUGAGGAAUAUUGCACAAUGGGGGGAACCCUGAUGCAGCAACGCCGCGUGGAGGAUGACGCAUUUCGGUGUGUAAACUCCUUUUAUAUGUCAAGAAAAUGACGGUAGCAUAUGAAUAAGCACCGGCUAACUCCGUGCCAGCAGCCGCGGUAAUACGGAGGGUGCAAGCGUUACUCGGAAUCACUGGGCGUAAAGGACGCGUAGGCGGGUUGGAAAGUCAGGUGUGAAAUCCUACAGCUUAACUGUAGAACUGCACUUGAAACUUCUAAUCUAGAGUAUGGGAGGGGAGAUGGAAUUAGUGGUGUAGGGGUAAAAUCCGUAGAUAUCACUAGGAAUACCUAAAGCGAAGGCGAUCUCCUGGAACAUUACUGACGCUAAGGCGUGAAAGCGUGGGGAGCAAACAGGAGUAGAUACCCCCGUAGUC